rnacentral:lncRNA from 1 species
CGUUUGUUUAGCUGGGUGGGAAGCCGAGCCCCGCCUGCCCGGGCCGGGAUUUUUCCAUCAGCCCCGCUGGAUUUUUCUAGGCGCUUCGUAGCAAAGUCUCUUGACGCGCGGGGUAUGCCCUGGUUUUAGAAUUUAUAUCCCCGGGGCUCCGUUAGGGAGCGCAGUGCCACGAACGCGAUCGGAGCUGGCUCCGAACUACACCCAGAAUGCCGCAAGUUUAUAGGAAAAUGAGCUAGACUACAGCUACUGUUGACAUACAGGCUAUGGACGCGAUCCAGGAAAACGAGAUAUUUUGAGACCGGUGGAGGGCAUCUAAAGUUUGUGUUGCUUACUGGUAAAAUUAUUCAUUUUUGUUGAAACCUGCAAUUCUUGGCUGAACCGUGCUGUGAUAAAUAGAGGCUUCAGGAAACUGAUAACAUACGAAAAAUAUCCAACUGUAACCCUGAGUUACCCAAGACCUAAGACAAGCCAGGUGUGGGGACAUUAGUGACGAUGAGAAAUAAGGGGCAACAGGGCUGUUGCUCCUUUGGAACCCCACUCAAGGGCUGCAAGUGAGUGUGAGAUCAUCUCCUCGGCUGUUCCUCCCCAAGAGAGUAGAAGUCAUGGGGCUGAGAACCUCAAUCUUUUUCUCAACAGAGCCAACAGGAGCAGUGAAGAAGGUACCCUGAUAUAUUACCAAGAAGAUCAAGGAGGAAAACAUCGCAGGAACAGGUAUUUCGAGACAUUUGUGCACAUCUGGAAAUAUAAAGCUACAUUUAAACACUAG